GACGAACGCUGGCGGCGUGCCUAAUACAUGCAAGUCGAACGAACUCUGGUAUUGAUUGGUGCUUGCAUCAUGAUUUACAUUUGAGUGAGUGGCGAACUGGUGAGUAACACGUGGGAAACCUGCCUAGAAGCGGGGGAUAACACCUGGAAACAGAUGCUAAUACCGCAUAACAACUUGGACCGCAUGGUCCGAGCUUGAAAGAUGGCUUCGGCUAUCACUUUUGGAUGGUCCCGCGGCGUAUUAGCUAGAUGGUGGGGUAACGGCUCACCAUGGCAAUGAUACGUAGCCGACCUGAGAGGGUAAUCGGCCACAUUGGGACUGAGACACGGCCCAAACUCCUACGGGAGGCAGCAGUAGGGAAUCUUCCACAAUGGACGAAAGUCUGAUGGAGCAACGCCGCGUGAGUGAAGAAGGGUUUCGGCUCGUAAAACUCUGUUGUUAAAGAAGAACAUAUCUGAGAGUAACUGUUCAGGUAUUGACGGUAUUUAACCAGAAAGCCACGGCUAACUACGUGCCAGCAGCCGCGGUAAUACGUAGGUGGCAAGCGUUGUCCGGAUUUAUUGGGCGUAAAGCGAGCGCAGGCGGUUUUUUAAGUCUGAUGUGAAAGCCUUCGGCUCAACCGAAGAAGUGCAUCGGAAACUGGGAAACUUGAGUGCAGAAGAGGACAGUGGAACUCCAUGUGUAGCGGUGAAAUGCGUAGAUAUAUGGAAGAACACCAGUGGCGAAGGCGGCUGUCUGGUCUGUAACUGACGCUGAGGCUCGAAAGUAUGGGUAGCAAACAGGAUUAGAUACCCUGGUAGUCCAUACCGUAAACGAUGAAUGCUAAGUGUUGGAGGGUUUCCGCCCUUCAGUGCUGCAGCUAACGCAUUAAGCAUUCCGCCUGGGGAGUACGGCCGCAAGGCUGAAACUCAAAGGAAUUGACGGGGGCCCGCACAAGCGGUGGAGCAUGUGGUUUAAUUCGAAGCUACGCGAAGAACCUUACCAGGUCUUGACAUACUAUGCAAAUCUAAGAGAUUAGACGUUCCCUUCGGGGACAUGGAUACAGGUGGUGCAUGGUUGUCGUCAGCUCGUGUCGUGAGAUGUUGGGUUAAGUCCCGCAACGAGCGCAACCCUUAUUAUCAGUUGCCAGCAUUAAGUUGGGCACUCUGGUGAGACUGCCGGUGACAAACCGGAGGAAGGUGGGGAUGACGUCAAAUCAUCAUGCCCCUUAUGACCUGGGCUACACACGUGCUACAAUGGAUGGUACAACGAGUUGCGAACUCGCGAGAGUAAGCUAAUCUCUUAAAGCCAUUCUCAGUUCGGAUUGUAGGCUGCAACUCGCCUACAUGAAGUCGGAAUCGCUAGUAAUCGCGGAUCAGCAUGCCGCGGUGAAUACGUUCCCGGGCCUUGUACACACCGCCCGUCACACCAUGAGAGUUUGUAACACCCAAAGUCGGUGGGGUAACCUUUUAGGAACCAGCCGCCUAAGGUGGGACAGAUGAUUAGGGUG
rnacentral:rRNA from 2 species